AAACCCUUUCUCUGAUCAUCACCACCGAAACUCAAAGCUCAAAGCUAUUCUCUAGAAACUCAAAGCUCUUCUCUUAACCUCUAACUCUCUUCAUCACCACUGACUCCUUUCUCUGAUCAUCAACCACCACUCUCGAGGCCCGACGACCCACUUCGAUCACCCACUACCACCUUCAAUUGCUGGCAACAAUUGACCUCCUGCAUCAAUCCAAUUUGAAGACUCAUCUUUUCAAAUUCUAGCUAUUUCCUGUGUCAACCACCAUAAUUGCCUACAAUUACAAACUUUUGUAGCACAAAUUGGGUAAGGAUUUCAUCCUCUAUUCAGUUCAUUCGUUGAUUCAUAUACAAAAAAAACUGAAAUCUUCUUUUCGGUCUUUCUUUUCGAUGCUUUAGCCUCAUCUCUCAAUCGUCUCUUUUGCUUCAAUCUCCUUCGACGUACUGNNNN
rnacentral:lncRNA from 1 species